rnacentral:snRNA from 1 species
GUGCUCACUUCGGCAGCACAUAUACUGAAGUUGGAACGAUACAGAGAAGAUUAGUGUGGCCCAAGGAUGACACACAAAUUUGUGAAGCGUUCCAUAUUUUU